CGGCGAACGGGUGAGUAACGCGUAAGAAUUUGCCUUUUAGUGGGGAAUACCUUUGGGAAACUGGAGUUAAUACCGCAUAAGUCCUGUGGGAGAAAGACGGCCUCUUUGCUGUCGCUAAAAGAUAAGCUUGCGUACUAUUAGUUAGUUGGUGAGGUAAAGGCUCACCAAGACGAAGAUGGUUAGCCGGCCUGAGAGGGUGAACGGCCACAUUGGGACUGAGAUACGGCCCAGACUCC
rnacentral:rRNA from 1 species